AUUUUCCAGUUGGUCCCCUGGUUCCGGGCGGCCCAAUAAGUGUACGGUUGUUGAUGGGGCAGCCUUGGGAACACUUGGCCCGGAUGGAAGCUGCAUACUUGGAGAUCUGGGCUGUCACCACUCCUUUACACAGCUGCAAUACCUGCUCAUCUGUCAGCCCAGGGCCCUGAGUUCUUCCAACACCACCCUGAGGAAGGAACAAUCAGCACAUGAGAUGAGUCAGUAAGAUGCCAUGGCAAUGAUAGGACUGCUUAUUACAGUUUAUCAGUCACAAAGGAAAGACCCAAACAUAAACAGCAGAUGACCAAUACACAUCCACUUUCACGUACUGGUGUGUGUGUGUGUGCUUGAUUAACUGUGAGAAAUUGACUGGUAAUUUAGCAGUGUGAUGGGGAAUGUAAAUAAAAGGUUACCUUCUCACUGUCACGACAGUGACGGAUGGUGGCGCCCCUCCUCCGCCGGGCGGAGCUCGGCGGUCGUCGUCGCCGGCUACUAGCUACCAUCGAUCCCUUUUUGUUUCACUUUCGUUUGGUUAGGUCUAGGUAGGCACGCACCUGUUUUGGGUUAGUCAUUAGUAAGGGGGGGUUAUUUAGGUUAGCGUAGGAUGUAUGUGGUUGUACGUGAUUGUGUUGCUUGUCCGGGUUUUGUGUGCUCGUAAAGAACGUGUAUUGAGUUUUUUCCUUCUGCCAGUGGUUUCUUUUAUUUGUGUACACCACCGCAGAAUCUUUCAGGGCUGCGCCCCUAUACCUUAUCGACCACGUACAGUGCUUCAAAUAAAGAAGUGUGGUCACGAACUCUCUCUGUCUCCUGCGCCUGACUCUACCUCUCCUGUUGUUCCUCGAGCCAGCCCGUGACACUCACCAUCAGGUCCUGUCUCCCCUUUGGCUCCCUAGAAACAACGCAUUAAAUCAACAAUUGCAUAAUCAUCAAAAGACAAUGAUGAUAACUGUAGUGGUAAUGACAAUGUUGGAGUAAUGACAUAUACACACAGGCUGGGCCUGCAGGCCUUUAGGUCCUGGUUUCCCUGGAACUCCUGCAUCUCCUCUCGCUCCUUGAGGCCCCUGUAAUAUGAAACACACACAUAGGUAAACUGCUGCAAAUACACACUUUAUAAUGAGAACCUUUGUUCAAAAAGAGGAAUUUAGUUAAAUUUCAAUGAAUGCCAUAACAUCUCUGACAGUUCUGCUCUUUAAAAAAAAUACUAAAACCAGCAUGACCUUCUGUGGUUUUACAUGACACUGAAACCUUUUCAGGGACUUUACUAACAUAUCUGAUGUUUUCAGGGACUUUACUAACAGAUCUGUUACCUUCCAUGUUUAAAUGUCAACAAUAUCACAUGGGUGUCUGUCCACCCACACGAAACCCUCAAGCAACAUUACCACCAAUCCCUGUCUGUCUUGACUCAUUACUCACACCUGGUUCCAAUUCCCCCUGAUUAGUAUGUGUAUAUAUGUGCCCUCCGUUCCCCAUUGUCCUUGUUGAUUAUUGUUCCAUGUCCGCUGGUCUUGUGAGGACCUGUGCUCUGUUGUAUCGGCUUAUGUGUUAGUGUGCACUUGUUAUUACGGGUCUCAUCCUGUGUAUUUAUUAGAGGUUUACACUUUGGUUUGGGUUACAGCCCUGUGUUAUAUAUAUUACGUGUUUGUUUUGGGCUUCGUCCCCGUAAUGUUCAUGACGUACUCUAUUUUGGGUAGUGAAAUAAAAAAAACGAUUUCAUA